CUGUCAUCUUAUUUGGCGUGUCCAAAUGUAAGAGCAUUUAUAUAGCUAGCUUUCCAAUUGAUUUGUCAAGCUAAACUCAUUACCCACUUCAACAGCCUCUCUAACUACACUCUCCGACACUGGGACCCACACGUCAGCCUCUGCUAUACCUUCUUCCUCUUUCUCUCCCUUUUUCUCUUUUCUUGGCACUUUUCGGAUGCAGCGGCGUGGCAAGACAGAGAGGAGCGACGCCGACGAUGGGAGGGCUGCGGGCGGCCGCGUCGGAUGUGGCCGAGCGUGGGGGCAUGGCCAGGCGUGGAGGCGGCCGCGGCGGAUGCGGCCGGGCGCGGGGGCGGCGGCGCUGGAUGCGGCCGGGCUGCAGCUUUUUCUUUUAGGCUUUUGGCUCCUUGAAUCCGUGCAGGCGCGCAAGAAUUCAAUGGCGGUUCUUGGAGCUUCUUGGGCUGGUCACUGAAGUAGUACGCAGUCUUGCGAUGCAGUCGGCGACGGAGAAGGUGAGGAGGACGCCCUCCUCCUGCCUGCUGCUGUGCAUCUCCGACAUCUGCAAGGAUGCGGCUGGGCAUGGGGGCGGCGGCGCCGGAUGCGGCCGCGGCAGCGGCGGGGGCGGCGGUGGCCGGCUGGAUGGAAGGGGAGGGGGCAUGGGGCCCACCGUUUGGCCAGCGGUUGUGGCUGGCUAGAUUUGGCCAGCUGCUAGCAGGAUUUGGCCAGUGGGAUGGCUUGGCCAGAGAGUUAAGGUCUUUUUUUUUUCAUAUGUUGGCUAUAAUUUAGCUUGGAGUGGCAUUUGGCCAUACUCUUGGAGAUGCUCUAAUGUGACCGUUUUUCUCUUUUCUUUUUUUUUUCCCUGAAGAAGAUUUGUCCGUUUAAGGCUUGUUUAAUUGGUGAAAUGAAAAUUUUUGGAUGUCACA